UGCGCCCGAGAGGCUCCAAGCGGCGGGCAUCGGAUUUACUCCUCUGGGCCAGCUAGCCAGCGCAGAGCGCGAUAGAUAGACAGAGAAAAGCGUUAGUGGCGUUCACCGUUCGAGUCACCUCUCUAUCUCGGUACUAUACCGUUUGAUUUCGCUUCAUGGUGCUGACUGUGACGACGGGAUAUUAUCCAACGUCGCCAAUACUGCCCGAAGGUUGACUUUCGACGGGAUCUGCGGGCCUCUCCCAUAAAAGAUCACGAUGCCGAACCUUACCGGUCCACGUGACAGCAUCGAAGCCAACAGCAGCACAUCGUCGGACGUAAUCCCCGAGGUGUGCCCACUCGGAUCGUUGGAUUCACUGGGCAAUCACGACAUCGACGAGGACGACAUGAAGGAGUCAAGGUUAAUGAACCUGCUCGACUCUGCCAGCGACUAUUUCUACAGCCUCUUCUAUUGCGGAUACAGAAGCUUGUUCGUGGACACUUACCAAUUCGAGGACUUCGUCUUUUACUCCCUGUGGAUGUUGUGCCUUCACUUCUGCAUCACAGAGAAGCUCCCGAACAUCGUGCGAGCUUCGCAUUGAGCAACAAAGGUGUGAAUAUGUGGUAUGUGUUUGCGAGUUACAUAAACGGAAGGAUAACCCACGGGUGACGUCGAAAGAUGCUGUCCAGUGGAUUGGAUUGGAUGUCGUCCAGUGCUGCGUGCGUGCUUCGAACGUUUCUGCUAAAUGUGAUGGUGAUAUACGUCUUGUCUGCAGCGAACGUUCUUCCGAGGACAUCACUUCGAGACCCGUUGACUUUUCGUUAUUUAUAGCAGUGCCAAAGAUAUUUUGAGCGAUUGGCGAUGCGGAGAAAAAGAAGAAAGUGCCUCGUGAUCUUGUUACGCCCACUUCUAGCUUGAACGUUGUGGAUACGUCUACCUGUCAAGCAUCAUGUUGGGCACGACGCUGUAGUCAGUUGUGCUGAAAAUAGAGCGAAGCUCUGAAACAA